rnacentral:rRNA from 1 species
AUUGAACGCUGGCGGCAGGCCUAACACAUGCAAGUCGAACGGUAACAGGGAUCAGCUUGCUGAUUCGCUGACGAGUGGCGGACGGGUGAGUAAUGUCUGGGAAACUGCCUGAUGGAGGGGGAUAACUACUGGAAACGGUAGCUAAUACCGCAUAACGUCGCAAGACCAAAGAGGGGGACCUUCGGGCCUCUUGCCAUCGGAUGUGCCCAGAUGGGAUUAGCUAGUAGGUGGGGUAACGGCUCACCUAGGCGACGAUCCCUAGCUGGUCUGAGAGGAUGACCAGCCACACUGGAACUGAGACACGGUCCAGACUCCUACGGGAGGCAGCAGUGGGGAAUAUUGCACAAUGGGCGCAAGCCUGAUGCAGCCAUGCCGCGUGUAUGAAGAAGGCCUUCGGGUUGUAAAGUACUUUCAGCGGGGAGGAAGGGAGCAAAGUUAAUACCUUUGCUCAUUGACGUUACCCGCAGAAGAAGCACCGGCUAACUCCGUG